rnacentral:rRNA from 1 species
UACAGAGGUCCCGAGCGUUGUUCGGAUUCAUUGGGCGUAAAGGGUGCGUAGGCGGCGGGGCAAGUCUGAUGUGAAAUCCUGGGGCUCAACCUCAGAACUGCAUUGGAUACUGCCCUGCUAGAGCACUGGAGAGGGAACUGGAAUUUACGGUGUAGCAGUGAAAUGCGUAGAGAUCGUAAGGAAGGCCAGUGGCGAAGGCGAGUUCCUGGACAGUUACUGACGCUGAGGCACGAAGGCCAGGGGAGCAAACGGG